GAUCAUGGUUCAGGAUGAACGCUAGCUACAGGCUUAACACAUGCAAGUCGAGGGGCAGCAUGACCUAGCAAUAGGUUGAUGGCGACCGGCGCACGGGUGAGUAACACGUAUCCAACCUACCGGUUAUUCCGGGAUAGCCUUUCGAAAGAAAGAUUAAUACCGGAUAGUAUAACGAGAAGGCAUCUUCUUGUUAUUAAAGAAUUUCGAUAACCGAUGGGGAUGCGUUCCAUUAGUUUGUUGGCGGGGUAACGGCCCACCAAG
rnacentral:rRNA from 1 species